AUUGAACGCUGGCGGCAUGCCUUACACAUGCAAGUCGAACGGCAGCACGGGAGUAAUCCUGGUGGCGAGUGGCGAACGGGUGAGUAAUAUAUCGGAACGUGCCCAGUCGUGGGGGAUAACGCAGCGAAAGCUGUGCUAAUACCGCAUACGAUCUCUGGAUGAACGCGGGGGACCGUAAGGCCUCGCGCGAUUGGAGCGGCCGAUAUCAGAUUAGCUAGUUGGUGGGGUAAAGGCCCACCAAGGCGACGAUCUGUAGCUGGUCUGAGAGGACGACCAGCCACACUGUGACUGAGACGCGGUCCAGACUCCUACGGGAGGCAGCAGUGGGGAAUUUUGGACAAUGGGCGCAAGCCUGAUCCAGCAAUGCCGCGUGCAGGAUGAAGGCCUUCGGGUUGUAAACUGCUUUUGUACGGAACGAAACGGCGAGCUCUAAUAAAGUUUGCUAAUGACGGUACCGUAAGAAUAAGCACCGGCUAACCACGUGCCAGCCGCCGCAGUAA
rnacentral:rRNA from 1 species